GCGCGUGCGCGGCGUGAGGUCGCGCCCCCCUCACGAAUCAUAGAGUUUGGCGAUGCGUUAUAGAGAGGGAAACGAUUACGCCCCUCACUUGUACUGGCUUCAGAUAGUGGGACUGGAGAGUCGGCGGCGGGGUGCCGGAGGCGCCGCGAUCACCGUAAACCGGCCCUCUAACGGCCGUAUUUACUUCAGACAUUUCAGCUUCCGAGAUAGCUUCCCUUCACUAAGAUGUCAACGGAUAAACAGAAUUGUGGGUCAUUCAAGCUCUGUGAUGCCAACAACUGAAGAUCAGACGCCUGGCUCCCAGCCUCUGUGGGAGGGGAGGAGUCUAACUUGGAUAAGCGCCAGCUAGCAAACCCAGGUGGUCUCCCCCGGUGCUAAGUUACAAGAGACACUGCUUUGGGAAUUAUCUCCAGUGUUCCCCAUUGCUUGUGCAAACAAUAAACCUUUCUUCACCUA